AGCUUUGCGCAGUGGCAGUAUCGUAGCCAAUGAGGUUUAUCCGAGGUGCGAUUAUUGCUAAUUGAAAAAAAAAAAAAAAGCAAGAGAGUUCCAGAAAAACAUCUAUUUCUGCUUUCUUGACUAUGCCAAAGCCUUUGACUGUGUGGAUCACAAUUAACUGU
rnacentral:snRNA from 1 species